rnacentral:rRNA from 1 species
UACGAACUGUGCAAACGUUAUUCGGAAUCACUGGGCUUAAAGGGUGCGUAGGCGGCUUGUCAAGUAGGGUGUGAAAGCCCCCGGCUUAACCGGGAAUUGCGCCCUAAACUGACGAGCUGGAGUGGGACAGGGGUGUGUGGAACUUCCGGUGGAGCGGUGAAAUGUGUUGAUAUCGGAAGGAACGCCGGUGGCGAAAGCGACACACUGGGUCUCAACUGACGCUGAGGCACGAAAGCCAGGGGAGCGAACGGG